rnacentral:misc_RNA from 1 species
UCUCGGCUUAUCACCGGCAGUCCCCCUAGAGUGCCCAACUGAAUGAUGGCAACAUAGGACAAGGGUUGCGCUCGUUGCGGGACUUAACCCAACAUCUCACGACACGAGCUGACGACAACCAUGCACCACCUGUGCAGGGCCCCGAAGGACACCGUAUCUCUACGGCUUUUCCCUGCAUGUCAAGCCCAGGUAAGGUUCUUCGCGUUGCCUCGAAUUAAGCCACAUGCUCCGCCGCUUGUGCGGGCCCCCGUCAAUUCCUUUGAGUUUUAGCCUUGCGGCCGUACUCCCCAGGCGGGGCACUUAAUGCGUUAGCUACGGCACGGAGGGCGUUGACCACCCCCCACACCUAGUGCCCAACGUUUACGGCGUGGACUAC